rnacentral:rRNA from 1 species
UAGGGAAUCUUCGGCAAUGGGGGCAACCCUGACCGAGCAACGCCGCGUGAGUGAAGAAGGUUUUCGGAUCGUAAAGCUCUGUUGUAAGUCAAGAACGGGUGUGAGAGUGGAAAGUUCACACUGUGACGGUAGCUUACCAGAAAGGGACGGCUAACUACGUGCCAGCAGCCGCGGUAAUACGUAGGUCCCGAGCGUUGUCCGGAUUUAUUGGGCGUAAAGCGAGCGCAGGCGGUUUGAUAAGUCUGAAGUUAAAGGCUG